GGGUAUGUAACUCAGUUGGUCAGAGUAACGGUCUUUUAAACCGUGAGUCGGUGGUUCGAAUCCACCUAUACCCA
rnacentral:tRNA from 1 species